rnacentral:tRNA from 1 species
AGGGGUGUAGCUCAGUGGUAGAUCUUGCUUGCAUGUUUGUAGCAUGUUACAAGGCCCUGGGUUCAAUUCCUAGAACCCCCA